AAUUUCGUCAAAUUUUCGAUUUUCGCCAAAUUUUUAAAGUUAUAGAGUUUUGUAAGAAGAAUAUCUUCGUUCAAACUGCACAAUAUAAUUGUCUAUUGUCUGCGACGAAAUUCUGAAAAACCACAACUUA